rnacentral:rRNA from 1 species
AUUGAACGCUGGCGGCAGGCCUAACACAUGCAAGUCGAACGAGUGGCAGACGGGUGAGUAAUGUAUGGGAAACUGCCUGAUGGAGGGGGAUAACUAAUGGAAACGGUAGCUAAUACCGCCUACCAUCGGAUGUGCCACGAUGGGAUUAUCUAGUCGGUGGGGUAACGGCUCACCUAGGCGACGAUGCAUAGCAGGUCCGAGAGGUUGACCGGCCACACUGGAACUGAGACACGGUCCAGACUCCUACGGGAGGCAGCAGUGGGGAAUCUUGCACAAUGGGCGCAAGCCUGAUGCAGCCAUGCCGCGUGUAUGAAGAAGGCCUUCGGGUUGUAAAGUACUUUCAGCGGGGAGGCGUUACCCGCAGAAGAAGCACCGGCUAACUCCGUGCCAGCAGCCGCGGUAAUUC